CUCUAGGGUCAUACCACCCUGAACGUGACCGAGGCACGACCCAGGCAGGGUCGGCCUGGUUAGUACUUGGAUGGGAUUCCGCCUGGGAAUACCGGGUGAUAUAGGCU
ensembl:rRNA 5S_rRNA 5S ribosomal RNA